rnacentral:tRNA from 1 species
GACUCUAUGGCUGAGUGGUAAAGCGCUUGGCUACUGAACUGAGGGGUCCCGGGUUCAAAUCCUGGUGAAAACU